rnacentral:precursor_RNA from 15 species
UUGUCCCUCAGUUCUGCGAAUAGCGAAAUGAAGAGAGCUAUCCGUCGACAGUCAAGUUAUAUACAUAUUUUAAUACUGUCAUGGAAUUGCUCUCUUUGUAUAAUAUUCGAAAAUCGACGAUAUAUAUG